AGCGAACGCUGGCGGCAGGCCUAACACAUGCAAGUCGAACGCCCCGCAAGGGGAGUGGCAGACGGGUGAGUAACGCGUGGGAACAUACCCUUUCCUGCGGAAUAGCUCUGGGAAACUGGAAUUAAUACCGCAUACGCCCUACGGGGGAAAGAUUUAUCGGGGAAGGAUUGGCCCGCGUUGGAUUAGCUAGUUGGUGGGGUAAAGGCCUACCAAGGCGACGAUCCAUAGCUGGUCUGAGAGGAUGAUCAGCCACAUUGGGACUGAGACACGGCCCAAACUCCUACGGGAGGCAGCAGUGGGGAAUAUUGGACAAUGGGCGCAAGCCUGAUCCAGCCAUGCCGCGUGAGUGAUGAAGGCCUUAGGGUUGUAAAGCUCUUUCACCGAUGAAGAUAAUGACGGUAGUCGGAGAAGAAGCCCCGGCUAACUUCGUGCCAGCCGCCGCGGUAACAC
rnacentral:rRNA from 1 species